rnacentral:rRNA from 1 species
UUUCGCAAUGCCCGAAAGGCUGACGACGCGGCGCCGCGUGGAGGAUUAAGGCCCUCGGGUUGUAAACUCCUGUCGAACCGGGAAGAAGAGCCACAUGCGAAUAGUGUGUGGUCUUGACGCUACCGGUUGAGGAAGGUCCGGCUAACUCCGUGCCAGCAGCCGCGGUAAUACGGAGGGACCUAGCGUUGUUCGGAAUCACUGGGCUUAAAGGGCGCGUAGGCGGCCAAAUAAGUCAGGUGUGAAAGCCCCCGGCCUAACCGGGGAACUGCGCCUGAUACUGUCUGGCUUGAGGAUGGAAGGGGAGAGCGGAAUUCCAGGUGUAGCGGUGAAAUGCGUAGAUAUCUGGGAGAACGCCGGUGGCGAAAGCGGCUCUCUGGUCCAUCUCUGACGCUGAGGCACGAAAGCUAGGGGAGCGAACGGGAUUAGAUACCCCGGUAGUCCUAGCCGUAAACUCUGGGCACUAAGUAGAGGGGUUUUA